CCUUCCUUCAGUGUUGCCUGGCUUCAUUCCUCUUCUUGGUGGACUUGACCUAAGUUCCAGUUUGGGUGCCUUUUCCUUCAUGUUUCGGUUCCUCACACAGUCUGUGUUUAGCAUGCCUCUCAACACCCCUACCAUUUGGUCAACCAUCUGCUUUAAUAUACCUGUGAAAGAGAGCUUACUACCUCAUACUACAGAUCACGCCACUGAAAGACAGACUUACUCAUUGAAAAGUUCUUCUGUACAUAGAGGAAAGGUCACGUGAGGAUACAGGGAGAAGCUAGAUGUAUGCAAGUCAGGAAGAGAAGACACCAUUUCUCAAACAACCUUGUGGCAUGUGGAUCUUGGACUUCUAGCCUCCAGAACUCUGAGAAGAUAAAUGUCUACUGUUUUAAGCCACCCAGGCUGUGGCAUCAUGCUACAGCAGCCCAGGCUGACUAACGCAACACCCAAGCUGAAAAAUAGGUGUAAGUUGUGGUUUCUAUGGGAUCAAAACAGGAAAGACAACAGAAUUUCCUUAUUAUUUGAUAUGUCUGGAUGUUCUGUUGAUGAGCUGUAUUCGAUGAGUAAUAAAAUAAAGACAUACAUAAUUCA